AAUUAAAGAAAAAAGUUUGUAAGAUUGAAAAGGGAAUAAAGAAGAAAAAUGUCAGGUUGCUACAGAGUUUGUGUUACCGGAGGGUCUGGCUAUGUAGCUGCUUCACUCGUUAAAACCCUUCUUCAAAACGGCCAUAUCGUCCAUGCAACUCUGCGAAAUUUGGAUGAUGAAUCAAAGGUUGGGAUUUUAAAGAGCCUCCCAAAUGCAACCACCAAUUUAGUGUUGUUUGAAGCCGAUAUUUACAAACCCCAUCAAUUUGAAGCUGCCAUUACAGGCACUCACUUUGUUUUCCAUCUCGCUACUCCUAUGCACCACAUUCAAGGAUCUCAGUUUAGGAACACCACUGAAGCAUCAGUUACAACGACGAAGAUGAUAACCAAAUUUUGCGUGGAAUCGGGAACGGUGAGGCGGUUGAUCUACACAGCCUCCAUCGUGUCAAUGUCGCCGAUGAAAGACGACGGGAGUGGUUUCAAGGAGUUCUUUGAUGAAAGCUGUUGGACCCCUCUUAAUCUCUCCUAUCCUUUUUCUGACUCACUUAUAUUGGAAUACGUGGAAUCAAAAACGGUAACAGAAAAAGAGUUGCUUAAGUUUAGGGAGAGCGAGGAAUCAGAAAGGUUGGAAGUGGUUUCAUUGGCGUGCGGCCUUGUCGUUGGGGAGUCUCCUCAUCCUUCUUCUGCUCUAAGCACCAUGAGCAUCACACCUUCUCCUGCUCUAAGCACCUAUAUCACAUUCUCUCAGUUCAUCGACGAAAGUGAACUCUUUAAAUACUUUAGAUCUCUUGAAGAAUUGAAUGGUAAAGUUCCACUCGUACAUAUUAAUGAUGUUUGUGAUGCCCACAUUUUCUGUAUGGAACAAAGCUCAAUCGAUGGCAGAUUCUUGUGUGCUAGUUCCUUCUUGUCUUCUUCGGAUACUGCCAAUUACUACCAUCUUCACCAUCCUCAGUUAAAACAAAAGCACGGGGUAUCAGAGGAAGUUCCCCACAGAAACAUCAAAAUGAACUCCAAUAAGCUUAUUGAGAGAGGUUUCUUAUAUAAAUACGAUGGUGAUAUGAUACUUGAGGAUGCUUUCCGUUGCUGCAAAAACCAAAUUUCCUAGAUUAAUUAUAUAUAUAUAUUGUUCUAAUGAAGCUGCUCUAUAAGGUAGCCGUGUGGUUCUAAUUUGUUUGGUGUACGUCCACGCUCAACCAAUAAUGGGUUGGACCAUCAUAUGGCUAAGGCAAUCCUCCUGCAAUGCAAAUAACUGGAGGUUGUUUUAUUCCGAUUUCUUCUUCUAUCUUCAAAGGGAUGGAAGGAAGAAGUGGAAAAAACAAAAAGAUCAACCGACAUGAUGGGUAGGCCAAGGUUUAGGUGGCUCAGUUUCAUUUACUGUCCUUUUGAAAUAAAGAUCGAGAACAAAGAGCCCAUUAUCAAAGGUUCUUUACCUUUUUCAUUAUUCUCUCUGAUUGCUUCAUUUCCCUAAAUUACAAUACUCAUCUUUCUUCUUUAUUAUUAUUAUUAAAGAUCCACAUGUGAAUUGACCUUUUUUUUCUAUGGAGAUUGCUGAAUGAUGCAUCAAACGGAGAAGGAUGAGGAAACUCAUUUUCACCAAUACCGUCUAAAUCAAAGCAGACAACCAGUGGUUUCAAGGAGUUAAUGGAUGAAUCCUACUAGACGCCUCUCUCAAUACUUCUGUCCUUUUUCUAUUUCUUUUUCUCCCAUUCCAACUCCAUUUUCACUAAUCAUUCUGAUCAUAACUAUAAUGAUAAUAAUAAUUAUUAUUUUUAUAGAAAAAACAAAUAAAAAUUUGAAAUGUGACAGAAAUUGUCUCCAAAA